rnacentral:tRNA from 1 species
AUAGCUCAGCUGGAUAGAGCACCAGGCUUCGAACCUGGGUGUCGGGAGUUCGAAUCUCUCU